rnacentral:rRNA from 1 species
GAUGAACGCUAGCGGCAGGCUUAAUACAUGCAAGUCGAGGGGCAGCAGGUCUGUAGCAAUACAGAUGCUGGCGACCGGCAAACGGGUGCGGAACACGUACAGAACCUUCCUUCGAGCGGGGAAUAGCCCAGAGAAAUUUGGAUUAAUACCCCAUAGUAUAUUGAAAAGGCAUCUUUUUAAUAUUAAAGAUUUAUCACUUGAAGAUGGCUGUGCGGCUGAUUAGAUAGUUGGCGGGGUAAUGGCCCACCAAGUCUGCGAUCAGUAACUGGUGUGAGAGCACGACCAGUCACACGGGCACUGAGACACGGGCCCGACUCCUACGGGAGGCAGCAGUAAGGAAUAUUGGUCAAUGGACGAAAGUCUGAACCAGCCAUGCCGCGUGAAGGAUGAAGGUCCUCUGGAUUGUAAACUUCUUUUAUCUGGGACGAAAAAAGGGAAUUCUUUCCCACUUGACGAUACCAGAGGAAUAAGCACCGGCUAACUCCGUGCCAGCA